rnacentral:rRNA from 1 species
AAAGGAAUAGACGGGGGCUCACACAAGCGGUGGAGGAUGUUGCUCAAUUCGAAGCAACGCGAAGAACCUUACCAGGAUUUGACAUGCUGGGAUUAACUCGGUGAAAGCCGAGGGAUUGCCUUCGGGUGUAACCAGCACAGGUGUUGCAUGGCUGUCGUCAGCUCGUGCCUUGAGGUGUUGGGUUAAGUCCCCUAACGAGCGAAACCCUUAUCGUUAGUUGCGACCGGGUCAUGCCGAGCACUCUAGCGAGACUGCCCGUGUCAAACGGGAGGAAGGUGAGGACGACGUCAAGUCAUCAUGGCCCUUAUAUCCUGGGCUGCAAACGUCCUACAAUGGCCCGUACAAAGGGAAGCAAAGCCGCGAGGCGGAGCAAAUCCCAAAAAGCAGGCCCUAGUUCGGAUUGCAGGCUGCAAUUCGCCUGCAUGAAGCUGGAAUCGCUAGUAAUCGCGGAUCAGAACGCCGCGGUGAAUAUGUUCCUGAGCCUUGUACACACCGCCCGU